GAUGAACGCUGGCGGCGUGCCUAAUACAUGCAAGUCGAGCGAACAGAUGAGGAGCUUGCUCCUCUGACGUUAGCGGCGGACGGGUGAGUAACACGUGGAUAACCUGCCUAUAAGACUGGGAUAACUUCGGGAAACCGGAGCUAAUACCGGAUAAUAUAUUGAACCGCAUGGUUCAAUAGUGAAAGACGGUUUUGCUGUCACUUAUAGAUGGAUCCGCGCCGCAUUAGCUAGUUGGUAAGGUAACGGCUUACCAAGGCAACGAUGCGUAGCCGACCUGAGAGGGUGAUCGGCCACACUGGAACUGAGACACGGUCCAGACUCCUACGGGAGGCAGCAGUAGGGAAUCUUCCGCAAUGGGCGAAAGCUUGACGGAGCAACGCCGCGUGAGUGAUGAAGGUCUUCGGAUCGUAAAACUCUGUUAUUAGGGAAGAACAAAUGUGUAAGUAACUAUGCACGUCUUGACGGUACCUACUCAGAAAGCCACGGCUAACUACGUG
rnacentral:rRNA from 1 species